AGCCACCUAAUAACAGGAACCCACCAGAGAGUUGUCCUCUGUAUUCCCUGGAUUCCACACAGGAAGAUCACAGCAUCCCUCGCUGUUGCAAGGGUGAAGAUCUGAUAGAUAUAAAAGUUGAUCUUAAAGCAGAAGAUGAAGAAACGUAUGUGAGGGAUGAUCGGCAGUCUGCAGAGGUGGAUGGAAUAACGGGGACAUCAAAGAUCAGAACAGUAGAUGGACGGGAG